GUGGGGAAUAUUGGACAAUGGGCGAAAGCCUGAUCCAGCCAUGCCGCGUGUGUGAAGAAGGUCUUCGGAUUGUAAAGCACUUUAAGUUGGGAGGAAGGGCAGUAAGUUAAUACCUUGCUGUUUUGACGUUACCGACAGAAUAAGCACCGGCUAACUUCGUGCCAGCAGCCGCGGUAAUACGAAGGGUGCAAGCGUUAAUCGGAAUUACUGGGCGUAAAGCGCGCGUAGGUGGUUUUGUAAGUUGGAGGUGAAAUCCCCGGGCUCAACCUGGGAACUGCCUCCAAAACUGCAUGACUAGAGUACGGUAGAGGGUAGUGGAAUUUCCUGUGUAGCGGUGAAAUGCGUAGAUGUAGGAAGGAACACCAGUGGCGAAGGCGACUACCUGGACUGAUACUGACACUGAGGUGCGAAAGCGUGGGGAGCAAACAGGAUUAGAUACCCUAGUAGUCC
rnacentral:rRNA from 1 species